GCGAGAAGUCCAUUGAACCUUAUCAUUUAGAGGAAGGAGAAGUCGUAACAAGGUUUCCGUAGGUGAACCUGCGGAAGGAUCAUUGUCGAGACCGAAAAACAUCGAGCGAUUCGGAGAACCCGUGAACGAGCGACGGCGGCCGUCGUCGCGGAACAGCCGUCCCGGUCGCGGCCUCGUCUCCCCGUCGUGGNGGGUGGGGGGGCGGACCACGGCGAAGGGCGGUUGAAAACUCAAACCGGCGCAGCCACGCGCCAAGGGAAUAUCGAAUGACACGAGCCCUGCAUCGGGUUUCGUGGCGUGGGGUGCUGUUGCACGCCAUAUGGAUCGACACGACUCUCGGCAAUGGAUAUCUCGGCUCUCGCAUCGAUGAAGAGCGCAGCGAAAUGCGAUACGUGGUGCGAAUUGCAGAAUCCCGCGAACCAUCGAGAAUUUGAACGCAAGUUGCGCCCGAGGCCAGCCGGCCAAGGGCACGUCCGCCUGGGCGUCAAGCGUUGCGUCGCUCCGUGCCAGCUCCGUCCCACCCCACGGGUGUGUCGGCCGAGGCCCGGACGUGCAGAGUGGCCCGUCGUGCCCGUCGGUGCGGCGGGCUGAAGAGUGGGUCGUCAUCUCAUCACCGGCCGCGAGCAACUAGGGGUGGAUGCCAUGCAAAGCUGUGCCUACGUUGUGCUUCGCGAUGGCCUGAGAAUAGAUUGCACCCUCCCGGCGAUCCCGACCCAUGCGCCGAUCCGAACCGGCGGCGGCUUGGAAUGCGACCCCAGGACGGGCGAGGCCACCCGCCGAGUUUAAGCAUAUCAAUAAGC
rnacentral:rRNA from 1 species